UAACUUAAGCAUAUCAAUAAGCGGAGGAAAAGAAACCAACAGGGAUUGCCUCAGUAACGGCGAGUGAAGCGGCAAGAGCUCAACUUUGGAAUCGCUCCGGCGAGUUGUAGUCUGGAGGUGGCCACCACGAGGUGUUCUAGCAGCAGGCAAGUCCUUUGGAACAAGGCGCCAGCGAGGGUGACAGCCCCGUACCUGCUUUUGCUAGUGCUUCCUGUGGCCCACCGACGAGUCGAGUUGUUUGGGAAUGCAGCUCUAAGUGGGUGGUAAAUUCCAUCUAAGGCUAAAUAUUGGCGAGAGACCGAUAGCGAACAAGUACAGUGAUGGAAAGAUGAAAAGCACUUUGAAAAGAGAGUGAAACAGUACGUGAAAUUGUUGAAAGGGAAGGGCUUGCACCCAGACACGGUUUCGGCCGGGCCAGCAUCAAGUAGAACGGGGUUAAAAGACCUGGGGAAUGUAGCUACCUCUUGGUAGUGUUAUAGCCCUUGGGUGAUGACCCCUGUUUUGCUUGAGGACAGCGGUCUCUAGGAUGCUGGCGCAAUGGUUGCAAGCCACCCGUCUUG
rnacentral:rRNA from 1 species